rnacentral:rRNA from 1 species
AUACGUAGGGGGCGAGCGUUGUCCGGAAUGAUUGGGCGUAAAGGGCGCGUAGGCGGCCCGGUAAGUCUGGAGUGAAAGUCCUGUUUUUAAGAUGGGAAUUGCUUUGGAUACUGUCGGGCUUGAGUGCAGGAGAGGUAAGUGGAAUUCCCAGUGUAGCGGUGAAAUGCGUAGAGAUUGGGAGGAACACCAGUGGCGAAGGCGACUUACUGGACUGUAACUGACGCUGAGGCGCGAAAGUGUGGGGAGCAAACAGGAUUAGAUACCCUGGUAGUCCACACUGUAAACGAUGAGCACUAGGUGUUGGGCUCGCAAGAGUUCGGUGCCGCAGUUAACGCAUUAAGUGCUCCGCCUGGGGAGUACGUACGCAAGUAUGAAACUCAAAUGAAUUGACGGGG